ACCCUUUCAUGGUCAGUUUCAGUCUGGUUUUUGAAAAUUCUCUAAAGGAUUAUUUCAGCUUCCCUUUUUCAACUGUUCAGUUGCCAUGCCUGCUGAUACCAGGUAGAGCUCAGAAUAUCCAGGCUCCUAAUUCCAGGGCUGAUGGUUUAAAAGUGUGUGGCAGUUCCACCCCCAACUCCUGCCGUCAUGUGAGACAUACCUGGCUUCCUCUUCCCCUUCUGGUAUGAUGGCUUGAAACAAAGUGUGUAAAUUUUCCAUGGUCUGGUGGCAAAUUUACUAUCAGCUCUGCGGGAAGUGAUUUUCAAAUAUUCAUUAGAAUAAACAAAGUAACAAAAUUUCUAAGUAAGCUAAGAAACCUAAUAAAAUAUGUAUUAUGGC
rnacentral:lncRNA from 1 species